AUAGGUUAUUUCAGUUGGAAAGGGUCCACAAGAUCACUGGGUCCAACUGCUGGACCCCUUCAGCCAGACCAAAAAAUUAAAGCACAUUAUUAAGGGCAUUGUCCAAAUGCCCCUUGAAUACUGACAGUUUGAGGCACCGACCACCUCUCCAGGAAGCCUAUUCCAGGGCCUGACCACCCUCGCGGGAAGGAGCGCUCCCUGUGUGACCGGUAUCUCCUUAUCCGGCUCCAAGACAAGAGUUAAACCGGCAGAAUCAGCCGUUUGGGCGGGACCUGUGCCCGUGCCGUGCCCGCGGCGGCAGCAUCCGGGCUCUCCCUGGCUGUGCUCGCUAAUUGUUUGUGUUAACGAGCGGCCACGAUCGGCGUGUGCCACAGCCGAGCCCGAGCGCUGCCGGCCCUCCCGGGCAGGGCUGAGCCCCGGCGGCGGGGGCGGUUCGGGCUCGGGGGGGCUGCGGGGCCGGCGGCCCAGCCCGGGGGUUGUUCCCGGCUCUCCCGUGUGACGGGGGCAGAGGGGGCGGAGGGUGGAGGGUCCCCCCCCGGCAUUUCCCGUCCCUCCUGCCGGGCAGGGCCGUGACGGGGCCGUGACGGGGCCGCGGUGUCGGUGCAUCGCUGCGUCACGGGCAGGGCCCUCGGCCCGGCAGAGCCGCGGGGUGUUCCCGACCCCUGCUGAAAAACCCUGGGAGCGGUGAGUCCCCCGGGCUGUGGGAAGCCCUGCAGGCGGCAGGGCCGUGGGGGCCCGUUCUCACACCGUCACCGAACAGCUCUGGUGACACCCGGCAGCCGGGACGGAGCCGCAGCCCCUGCGAGGAGGGGGAACGGGACCGCCCAGCCAUCGCUCCUGUGCUGUGAGAUGAGUGAGGCCGGGACAGUGCUGUCAGUGCCCAAGAGCACCGUUAUCCUGCCCCACAAUUCCCCAGCCCCAGGCGGCAGCUCCCUCGGUGGUGACAGUCUGUGUAAUCCUUUGCAUUGCACCUAAAGCCUGCAAAGUGAACAGAGUCUGGUCGCACUGACCCGCCAGAGCUUUGGAGCAGGGAAUGCUUGUGGCCCAGCACAGUGACACCAUGUGAGGGGGUGACAGGGGCAGCUCCUGCCUGCAACCAGCUCGGGGUAAAAAAUAAAACAUUGGGUCCAACUGCAAGUGAUGAAUCCUCAUGGAUGGGCAGAGCCCUGGCAGCUGAGCCAGCAAACGUUCCUGAAGCUGUGGAGCAACCCCGGAGGAGCCAGGGGUUCCCCCUCCAGGAAUGUGCCUUUUUCCCCCAAAAUAUGCCAACCAAGUCCUGAUUCCUGAAGAUCCAAACGGAAUCUCUUCCAAUAGUUUUUCUACUCACUGCAUCUUGCCCUUGUACCCAGCGGCGACUCCUGGUUCCACGUUGGCAGCAACUCACAGCCCAGCCGAGGAAAAACCAGGAGAUGCAGGGUCAGUACAGCACAUCCUGACAAACGUGAUCAGAUUUCCCUG